rnacentral:rRNA from 1 species
AAGGCCCUGCUUGCAGGGUACUCGAGUGGCGAACGGGUGAGUAACACGUGGGUGAUCUGCCCUGCACUUCGGGAUAAGCCUGGGAAACUGGGUCUAAUACCGGAUAGGAGCCAUUUUUAGUGUGAUGGUUGGAAAGUUUUUUCGGUGUAGGAUGAGCUCGCGGCCUAUCAGCUUGUUGGUGGGGUAAUGGCCUACCAAGGCGGCGACGGGUAGCCGGCCUGAGAGGGUGGACGGCCACAUUGGGACUGAGAUACGGCCCAGACUCCUACGGGAGGCAGCAGUGGGGAAUAUUGCACAAUGGGCGCAAGCCUGAUGCAGCGACGCCGCGUGGGGGAUGACGGCCUUCGGGUUGUAAACUCCUUUCGCUAGGGACGAAGCUUUUUGUGACGGUACCUAGAUAAGAAGCACCGGCUAACUACGUGCCAGCAGCCGCGGUAAUACGUAGGGUGCGAGCGUUGUCCGGAAUUACUGGGCGUAAAGGGCUCGUAGGUGGUUUGUCGCGUCGUCUGUGAAAUUCCGGGGCUUAACUCCGGGCGUGCAGGCGAUACGGGCAUAACUUGAGUACUGUAGGGGUAACUGGAAUUCCUGGUGUAGCGGUGAAAUGCGCAGAUAUCAGGAGGAACACCGAUGGCGAAGGCAGGUUACUGGGCAGUUACUGACGCUGAGGAGCGAAAGCAUGGGUAGCGAACAGGAUUAGAUACCCUGGUAGUCCAUGCCGUAAACGGUGGGCGCUAGGUGUGAGGGUCUUUUCACGACUUUCGUGCCGUAGCUAACGCAUUAAGCGCCCCGCCUGGGGAGUACGGCCGCAAGGCUAAAACUCAAAGGAAUUGACGGGGGCCCGCACAAGCGGCGGA